rnacentral:rRNA from 1 species
GACGAACGCUGGCGGCGUGCUUAACACAUGCAAGUCGAGCGGUAAGGCCCUUUCGGGGGUACACGAGCGGCGAACGGGUGAGUAACACGUGGGUGACCUGCCCUCAGCUCUGGGAUAAGCCUGGGAAACCGGGUCUAAUACUGGAUAUGACUCCAUGACGCAUGUUGUGGGGUGGAAAGCCUUGUGCGGCUGAGGAUGGGCCCGCGGCCUAUCAGCUUGUUGGUGGGGUGANGGCCUACCAAGGCGACGACGGGUAGCCGGCCUGAGAGGGCGACCGGCCACACUGGGACUGAGACACGGCCCAGACUCCUACGGGAGGCAGCAGUGGGGAAUUGUUCGCAAUGGGCGCAAGCCUGACGACGCAACGCCGCGUGGAGGAUGAAGGUCUUCGGAUUGUAAACUCCUGUUGCUCGGGACGAAAUGCUCCAGCCUAACACGUUGG